rnacentral:lncRNA from 1 species
GCCGCAGAAAGGUAAAGAACUUCUCCUUCUUCAGUACCUCAGACAAUCUCUCUCCUAAAUCCCAAUCCAUCUCUGCCGCUCCCUCAACCGCCGUUACGAUCUCCACUCGUCCUCAACCUUUCGACCCCUCCUCUCAAAGCUCUCUUUCCCCUAUUCCCGAAACCCUAAUGGGCGAAAGCUCGUGGAGGCCAUAGCUGAAGAUCUGAGGUCGGGUUUGGAAAACCUAAUUGGCAAAUGGUCUUCUGGUGUGGGAACUUCGAUUCAAGGUAUGCGGUUACGGAUUUUCAAACUCUAACCGGUGAAGGAACUUCUCUAACCUCUCUCAUCAUCUUUCUUUGCCUCUAUGCAUUCAUGUGGAUGGGUAAUCAGAUUUGAUUAUUAACUGUAGUUGUUCAACUAUUGAGGCUUUAGAGACAAUUGGGGAUCUUUUGUUCAGUUGGGUUUCCAAUUGUUAUUGUUUACUUUUAGUGAAUUCGUUUCAUGUUAUUGUUCGAUUGAACUUUCUCUAAUCAAAACAAUAAACCCUCAAAAUUACUAAAUGAUUAGGGGUUUUCUGUACUUGUUUCUUAUUUCAGAAAAUCCCAAUGAGCUUAGUUUUUGGAUUCUGUCAUACUUAAUGGUAAAUGGCCAAAUAGAAAAUACGGACGAGUUCCUUUGUUUGUUUUUAUGUUUUUGUUUUUCUUCUUUGUUACAGAAUAGCUGAGAGUUGCAAUUCAGAUAUGAAAAAUUGUGUGAGAGUCAAAUUCUAUGUGCUCAUUAUAGUUUAGUUUCAAAGUAUGCUUUGGAGACAUCAGUCAUCCUAUAUAUAUUCUUUAUCUGCGAGGGCAUGGGGUGACAGUAAAAGUAAAGCCAUCUCCCAUGACCAAAUUCUCUGAUUUGGAAUUGGAAUAGAAUGGAUCAUUUGGCUUUGUUUGCAGGGUGUGAGGACAGUAGAGUUGGCUACCACGUGACUUUUUUGUAAAUUCGGUUGGUCACAUAUAUACUAGAAUAACUGGUAUAUAUAUGUUAUCUAUCCCAAGUAGAACUAAUAUAGCUAGUUUUUGAUUUACAUGAGAACAUAUUAAUGUGACUUGUGGAAUUAGGUUUUUGGCACUGCCUACAUUUGGAGAAGGGUGGCACAAUUCAAGUAUGAAAAAUUUAUUUGAGAUUCACAUUCAGUGUGCCCUUUUUAGUUUAAUUUCAAAAUAUCCUUUGGAGACAUUGGUCAUCCUAUAUAAGUAUAUAUAUUGUUUUUUCACUCUUACUCUUAUUUAGAUGGUUGGCCCUUUAACAUUGAGUACCUAUAGAAUCAGUUAUGAAUGUUAUAUUUUCAGGCUCUGAUUUUUCUGACUUUUAACUUCUCAUUGUUUGACCUUUUGUUUUGAUUAAACCUUGGUGAAGAACUAUGGAAGCAGCAUGUGAACUGGGCAAGAAAUAAGGGACAGUGCUUGACAUGAUACAAUGAUUUCUCUAAGGAACCCUGUUGUAAAGGUUUACUACAAGAACCAUGUAAUUGUAAGUGAAAAGCACAUAUUAUUCUAGUCUUAUCAGUUUGGAAAUUAAGCCUAGAGGGUUAUGAUUUAUGGCUUGUUGGGUAUGCAAAAUGUGCUUUCUUACCUUCAUUUUUUUGUUCUUCAGAUGUGUGUUGAUGUGUGUAGAUAAUCGAUUGUGUGUGUGUGUGUAUACACUGACCUUUAUUGUUUGAAGGGUUUUGUUUGAUCAACUACAGCUAGACAAUGGCAACUAGGUAAGAGAAAAACCUACAAUCUAGUUGAUGCUCUAACUCGACAUAUUGUUCAAGUAUUUAGCUUUGGUUUGUCUUUUAUUUGGACCACUUUAGAUUGCUUUGCUCUUUUUGUUGUUCAAUUUAUUGUAAUCUAAUGAUAUAUUCAUUCUAUGAUAUUUUACUGGUUAUUCGGUUUAUGUAGCUCAGUUAUGAGUCUUUUACUAUUAAGUUCAUUCUUCUUUACACAACCUGCAGGAAAGAUACAACUAGAUGAAUGCUAAAAAAAAAGAUUUAAAUUGACAUAUAAGUGGAAG